AUAAGAGCGGCAGGUGACUGAGACAGAGAAGUCUGAGGUACCCAUGAGCAACUAGACCGCUCAGAGGACAAAUCCUACUGAAGAACCCAUUCUAUUGGACUGGAAAUACAUCUUUAAUGCAGUCAGCAUUUAAUAUACUUAUACAGCGCCAGCAUAUACCGAUGCGCUUUACAAUUGGGAAUAAAACAGUAAUGAGAAGAGACAGAAAGAAACUGUGGUGGCACUUGACCUGGAAACAAAAACCUGAUAAAGUUAUUAUGGUCGUGAAGGUGCUGAACCGCACGUGGAACACAUGACGGCGGACGGCACUUCCUGUUUCCGGACAGAUGCAACUUCCGCUCUAGACGCUACCUCCGGCAAACGUCAUUGCCGCUGAAUAUCUUCCCGCGCAAAUCGCGGGAGGAAGUCGCUGACAGAGGGGGAGGUUACCCAUUAAAGAUUCCUUUAAAUAGAGAACCAGUCAGUUAGGACAGCGUGCUUCUGAGGAAGGACCAAUGAAGGUCCGAAAUAUGUUAAGCUGCUGAACAACAAAGCGGGACCAGAACCAUUAGGAGACAUCUUUUCUGAUACAGCAUAUGGAUUGAUCCGGACUUUAUCCUCUGCUAUUAACAUCAGUCAGGACAGAUUGUUAUUUCUGUUGGUCUGCUGGAUACCCAUUGUUGGUAGAUAUGCGACUUUUAUUGUUUUAUCUUGUGAGUGCAUUUUAUUAAAUAUUGUUAUUCCUUUUAAAAAAGGUUUUGCACUAUUAUUUGUUCUGUUUUAUUUGGAGGAUAUUUGGUAUAUCCAACUAUCUUCAAUCAAGUACAAACUGAAUUUUGGUUAAGAAGAAAUGAGCCCUUGGGGACUACUCACCAAUUGGUGAGAGAUACGCCUUUAUAUCAUCUGUGGAAUGUGAGUGUGAACCCCCCACUCAAAUCAGUCAUUUGAGCAUUCACUAGGUUUUAGGAGUCACAUAUACUGUUUUUAUGAUCAAUAAUAUGUUUCCCUCAGAUUGACCGUUUGUAUUUGUCUAGAUUAAUGCGGCUAGUCUUCUAUUAGUUUGCCCUCCCCGUCCCUUCCAUUCCUGUUAAUUCCGAGCUAAUGCAGUUCAAGUAGGUUGGUUUAGUAUCCCCCCCCCCACACACACACACGCACACACACACACACACACACACACACACACACACACACACACACACACACACACUCACACAUCUACACCUACGCCUUCUCCCCUAUUUUCUAAUUUCAUGUUUUGUUUUUUAACCUGUUCAGCCUAACCAGUUUAACUCGCCUAUUUUAUACAAUCUCACAGUUACAUGUGUUUUCAUUGUGGUAUUCCUAACACAGUAUGCAUUACCGUUUAAUACUAUGAGACCGAUCAGUUUCUCCUAGUUAACCUACUGUACGUAUCACUAUAUCCGCUCUGACGUUGCAACCCUUUUGUCAUAAAAUGCAAUAAUGUAACAUGGUUCGGUUGCCUAUGUAAUAUUUCUUACAUUUACAUUCACUUUAAUCCACCAAACGCACUCUGUCUUUCCAUUAUUUGGUGCAUUGCAGCGGAAUAUAGCCUGCUUGAAGGGGCCUAUAUGGCUCUUUUAAGCUCCAUCGCCUUUGUUCCAUGGUUCUUGUAUGCUGCCAUAUCGACCCCUUUCCUGUUUGAUUCAUAAAUGUUGGCAAUUGGCUGGCUGUAUUUAACACAAAGUUUAGGUUAAGUUCCCUUUUGUUUUUCAGGGAAGUAGACUGCAGACCAGCAGCUGCUUCCCAGUUUGUUUGGUUUGGAAAAUGUAGAAAUAGUAGUGGUGAAGCUGAGCAUCAGACAAUGCCAAUAUACUGGGUAGCUGAUAUAUUUCUCAAGUAGAUUUCGUUUUUCCUUGUUCUGCUUUUUUGUUACCAUCUAUCUGAUCAGCUUGUAACAACAUGGUCUCUGAGACUACUGUACUUAUAUCACAAUGUUACAAAUGUUAUACUGUACCUAUUGUAUGCAAUAUCUGUAAUUGAUGCUUGUGCUUCAAUAAAAAGAUGUUAAAAAAAAAAAAAAAUGGAAUAGAUUUCUCCCACUUCAGGAGUUGGACGGCAGAUCCAUGUCGACUUCUUUUUUUAGGAGGGGGCAUUCAAGUACAAACUGAAUUUUGGUUAAGAAGAAUUUAACCCUUGGGGACUACUCACCAAUUGGUGAGAGAUACGCCUUUAUAUCAUCUGUGGAAUGUGAGUGUGA